GCCUCGCUAGCUCAAUGGUAGAGCAACGCUCUUGUAAGGCGAUGGUUGCGGGUUCAAUUCCUGCGCGAGGCUCCA
rnacentral:tRNA from 1 species